rnacentral:rRNA from 1 species
UGGGGAAUAUUGGACAAUGGGCGAAAGCCUGAUCCAGCCAUGCCGCGUGUGUGAAGAAGGUCUUCGGAUUGUAAAGCACUUUAAGUUGGGAGGAAGGGCAGUAAGUUAAUACCUUGCUGUUUUGACGUUACCGACAGAAUAAGCACCGGCUAACUCUGUGCCAGCAGCCGCGGUAAUACAGAGGGUGCAAGCGUUAAUCGGAAUUACUGGGCGUAAAGCGCGCGUAGGUGGUUUGUUAAGUUGGAUGUGAAAGCCCCGGGCUCAACCUGGGAACUGCAUCCAAAACUGGCAAGCUAGAGUACGGUAGAGGGUGGUGGAAUUUCCUGUGUAGCGGUGAAAUGCGUAGAUAUAGGAAGGAACACCAGUGGCGAAGGCGACCACCUGGACUGAUACCGACACUGAGGUGCGAAAGCGUGGGGAGCAAACAGGAUUAGAUACCCCCGUAGUCCCUGAGCGGGCUGGCAAGGCGCAU